rnacentral:lncRNA from 1 species
UGAUUAGGAUUUAAUUAGGGUUUGAUAAGGAUUUAGGAUUUUAUUUAGGGUUAGGAUUAGGAUUUUUUUUUUUAUUUAAGCUUGGCUAGAAUUUGUUUAAGAUCUGAAUAGGAUUUAUUUAGAGUUAUACUAGGAUUUAUUUUGGAUUUGAUUAGAAUUUGGUUAAAGUUUGUUUAGAAUUUGAUUGGAAUUUGAUUAGGAUUUGACUAGGAUUUGACUAAGAUUUGUCUAGGAUUUAAUUAGAAAUUAUUUAGGAUUCGACUAGAGUUUGACAAGGAUUUGAUCAAGUUUUGACUAAGAUUUGAUUAAGGUUUGAUCAAGAUUUGAUUAAAUUUUGACUAAAGUUUAAUUAAGAUUUUUAUUUUAAUUUUUAUUUAAGAUUUCUAUUUUAGUAUUUUUUUUUUGAAUUUCUAUGUUAUUUAUUUAUGA